rnacentral:tRNA from 1 species
UGUAUAUAUAAAACUUAUGUUACGGCCAUAAGAAUGAUAUUACGUAUCAUAUACUU